rnacentral:rRNA from 1 species
ACGGGUGAGUAACGCGUGGGUAACCUGCCCUGUACACACGGAUAACAUACCGAAAGGUAUGCUAAUACGAGAUAAUAUGCUUUUAUCGCAUGGUAGAAGUAUUAAAGCUCCGGCGGUACAGGAUGGACCCGCGUCUGAUUAGCUAGUUGGUAAGGUAACGGCUUACCAAGGCGACGAUCAGUAGCCGACCUGAGAGGGUGAUCGGCCACAUUGGAACUGAGACACGGUCCAAACUCCUACGGGAGGCAGCAGUGGGGAAUAUUGCACAAUGGGCGAAAGCCUGAUGCAGCAACGCCGCGUGAGCGAUGAAGGCCUUCGGGUCGUAAAGCUCUGUCCUCAAGGAAGAUAAUGACGGUACUUGAGGAGGAAGCCCCGGCUAACUACGUGCCAGCAGCCGCGGUAAUACGUAGGGGGCUAGCGUUAUCCGGAAUUACUGGGCGUAAAGGGUGCGUAGGUGGUUUCUUAAGUCAGAGGUGAAAGGCUACGGCUCAACCGUAGUAAGCCUUUGAAACUGGGAAACUUGAGUGCAGGAGAGGAGAGUGGAAUUCCUAGUGUAGCGGUGAAAUGCGUAGAUAUUAGGAGGAACACCAGUUGCGAAG